rnacentral:lncRNA from 1 species
CAUGCAGCCUGGAGGUGGAGACCUGUCCAGUUGGCAAAGACAUAAUUAAGAGUGUGGGGCGCUAAGUGCUAUGAAAGAGCUUUGCCCAGGGAUCCAAGGGUGGGAGUUCAAAGGCUGAUGGCUAAAUCCAGAUCUUUGGAGACAGUGCAUCAGGAAAUGCCUCUGAAGAGGGACUUGGCAUCUUGGCCAAGUCUUGAAAUUGGCCAAGCAAGCAAAGAGAUGAGGAAUGAUCAAGGUAGAGGAAACAACUUAUAUGGAGACACAAAGACAUAAGAGAAUCUGUGCACCAGACAGAGUAUUGGAAAUAGCUGAUGGCUGAAACCCAGAGGCAAAAAGAGGAGUAGAGCGAGUACUGACAGCAGAAAAGCAACCGCCUAAGAUGUGCAGCUUUGACCCUGGAGGAAAUGGAAACCAUUGCUGAAAUCAGAGCAAGGGGGGUCACUUGAAUGACUCAUCUCCAGAAGACUGUGAGGCCACUCAGCAAAGGUGGGUUCAGAGGAACAAGAAUGGGCCUCAGUCACAUCAGGGACAAGGGAACGGGUGGGUUCCAGAGUUAUUCAAGAGAUGGGAGCAAUCUGAGUAUCAGCCAACUAGUUCUGGGGAGGAGGAAAGGGCCAAGGUUAGCCUAGACACCUGGACAGGAGGUGAGGUCAUCACUGAAACAGGGAACACAGUGGGGUGAGCACACAAGGAGGAAGAGAGCGCUAUGCCUCCGUGGAUUCCUAAUGGAGAAGAGGAGCUUGGAUGACAAUGGCCACAGCUUCAUGUACAGAUCUACACUUUAGAAGAGUAAUAUUAACUGGACAUGUGGAUGUGAUAAUCUUGAGUUCUCUCCAGGAACAAAUACAGAGUGAGGAAAUCAAAGAAAAUGCCCUGGGACACUGACACGUUAGGGACAGGGAGAAGAAGAGUACUCUAUGGAGGGUAAUUAGAAGAGGCCAGAAAGGUAGGAGGCAGAUCAGUAUUUGGACAAGCCAGAGAAAUGGGACUCACCCAAGAGAGGUCCUCCUAAUUUGCAUGGACAGUCACUGUACUUCCUAAUCAAGUAGUCAACAGUGUUAUUAUCUCCAUUGAAGAAUAAGAAACAAUAAAACUAAAGAGAUUCAAUACUGCACCUAAGGUCAACAGCUGAUGAGUUGAAAGAACUUAUAUUCAAAAUUAAAGCUAACUUCAAAGCCCUGACGUUCCUCCUAUACUUCCGCCCCCACCCACACAGGUCCACUCGCAUCAAAGACGCUAUUAAUACAAAAAGCUAGUGUCUAGAAAUUUCUU